rnacentral:tRNA from 1 species
GUACUUAAAUUAAAAGACCGGCUACGCAUGUAGAAACUGCAGUGGAAGUGUUUUCGGACAGGGGUUCGACUCCCCUCGCCUCCACCA